rnacentral:pre_miRNA from 1 species
AAACAGCCUCCUAUGUUUUGAUUCUUUAGCAGUUUGGACCCCCAAGGCAAAAAAAAUAAAAAAUAUUGACACGUGGCACCUUACUUAGGGUGCCACGUCAGCGUUGACCGAGUCAACAAGGGACUGGGGGUCUAAAACUACCAAAGAAUCAAAACAUAGGGGGUUGUUU